UCUCUUCGGGGAUGAUUAAACCGGCGCACGGGUGAGUAACACGUGAGUGACCUGCCUUUUAGACUGGAACAACUUACCGAAAGGUGAGCUAAUGCCGGAUGAGUUAUAUAAGUGCAUGUUUAUAUAGGAAAAGUUGGGGAGACCUGACGCUGAAAGAUGGACUCGCGUCCCAUUAGCUAGUUGGUAGGGUAAUGGCCUACCAAGGCGACGAUGGGUAGCCGGCCUGAGAGGGUGGCCGGCCACACUGGGACUGAGACACGGCCCAGACUCCUACGGGAGGCAGCAGUGGGGAAUUUUGCGCAAUGCUCGUAAGAGUGACGCAGCGACGCCGCGUGAAUGACGAAGGCCUUCGGGUCGUAAAGUUCUUUCGACAGGGAAGAAAAUGCCUAUAAGUAACUGUGUAUGUAUUGACGGUACCUGUAUAAGCAGCCCCGGCUAACUCCGUGCCAGCAGCCGCGGUAAUACGGAGGGGGCGAGCAUUGUUCGGAGUGACUGGGCGUAAAGAGCACGUAGGCGGUGUUGUAAGUCAUUAGUCAAAGACUAGAGCUCAACUUUAGUAAGGCUAGUGAUACUAUAAUACUAGAGUAUCAGAGAGGAUUGCAGAAUUCCUGGUGUAGCGGUGAAAUGCGUAGAUAUCAGGAGGAAUACCGUUAGCGAAGGCGGCAAUCUGGCUGGAAACUGACGCUGAGGUGCGAAAGCGUGGGUAGCAAACAGGAUUAGAUACCCUGGUAGUCCACGCUGUAAA
rnacentral:rRNA from 1 species